GACGAACGCUGGCGGCGUGCUUAACACAUGCAAGUCGAACGGAAAGGCCCUGCUUUUGUGGGGUGCUCGAGUGGCGAACGGGUGAGUAACACGUGAGUAACCUGCCCUUGACUUUGGGAUAACUUCAGUAAACUGGUGCUAAUACCGGAUAGGAGCUCCUGCUGCAUGGUGGGGGUUGGAAAGUUUCGGCGGUUGGGGAUGGACUCGCGGCUUAUCAGCUUGUUGGUGGGGUAGUGGCUUACCAAGGCUUUGACGGGUAGCCGGCCUGAGAGGGUGACCGGCCACAUUGGGACUGAGAUACGGCCCAGACUCCUACGGGAGGCAGCAGUGGGGAAUAUUGCACAAUGGGCGGAAGCCUGAUGCAGCAACGCCGCGUGCGGGAUGACGGCCUUCGGGUUGUAAACCGCUUUCGCCUGUGACGAAGCGUGAGUGACGGUAAUGGGUAAAGAAGCACCGGCUAACUACGUG
rnacentral:rRNA from 1 species